AAAUUUCGUAAAAGUUCAACCAUUGGAAAAUGCACUUCUGAAGAUCUCUGCAAACCAGUGGACCAGUGGCUAUAAUGUUGCUUUCUCGUUAUGUGCUCGUUACUUUUGCUGAAUGGCUGUUUGCUAGUUGACUCAUUUGCAUAAGUCACCAGACCAUGGUCUCAUCACAAUGAUGUAUUAUGAUAAUGAAUAUUCAUUGUCAAACACUUGAAACUACAAAAAUCAGGAAACUGCUGAAAUGACACCACGAAGAGCAACUUCUAGAUAGGGUGUGCAUGUGCGUUUCACCACAGCGAAUCAAGAAUGUUGUAACCUUCUACCGCUUGGAUUAUAGGCCAGUGAACAUUUUAAAUAAAAAUUGUGUAGAAGGCUGAACAUUGCAAUAUGCACUUCUGAAGAUCUCAGCAAUCCAGUGGACUCAUCCUGCUCAACUCAAUGGCUAUAAUGUUGCUUUCUUGUUUCAUGCUCGUUAAUUCUGCUGAAUGAAAUUUUGAGGAAAUUUUAAACAUUGCACCUCUGCAACAAGUGGAACAGCCCUGUUUGGCUGAAUGGCGAAUUUUGCUUCCUACUGAAUGAAUGUGGCAACUGAUUUGGCAAUUAAAGCUUUCUAUUUCAAGUAAUUAUUCUCUG